rnacentral:rRNA from 1 species
GACGAACCGUCCAAACGUUAUUCGGAAUCACUGGGCUUACAGAGUUCGUAGGCGGUCUGGAAAGUUGGGUGUGAAAUCCCUCGGCCUAACCGAGGAACUGCGCUCAAAACUACCCGACUCGAGGGAGAUAGAGGAAAGCGGAACUGAUGGUGGAGCGGUGAAAUGCGUUGAUAUCAUCAGGAACACCGGUGGCGAAGGCGGCUUUCUGGGUCUUACCUGACGCUGAGGAACGAAAGCUAGGGGAGCGAACGGG